rnacentral:misc_RNA from 1 species
GAUGAAGAACGCAGCGAAAUGCGAUACGUAGUGUGAAUUGCAGAAUUCAGUGAAUCAUCGAAUCUUUGAACGCACAUUGCGCCCGCCAGCACUCUGGCGGGCAUGCCUGUUCGAGCGUCAUUUCAACCAUCAAGCCCCCAGGGCUUGUGCUGGGGCCCUGCGGCUGCCCGCAGGCCCUGAAAACCAGUGGCGGGCUCGCUAGUCACACCGAGCGCAGUAGCACAUCUCGCUCAGGGCGUGCGGCGGGCUCCUGCCGUGAAACCCCCCACUGUAACCCCAAAGGUUGACCUCGGAUCAGGUAGGAAUACCCGCUGAACUUAAGCAUAUCAAUAAGCGGAGGA